UACGUAGGGUCCGAGCCGUUGUCCGGAAUUAUUGGGCGUAAAGGGCUCGUAGGCGGUUUGUCGCGUCGGGAGUGAAAACACCAGGCUUAACUUGGUGCUUGCUUUCGAUACGGGCAGACUUGAGGCAUGCAGGGGAGAACGGAAUUCCUGGUGGUGAGCGGUGAAAUGCGCAGAUAUCAGGAGGAACACCGGUGGGCGAAGGCGGGGUCUCUGG
rnacentral:rRNA from 1 species